CUGACUCUGAGAAGAAGGAUUUGGGAGCAUCAGUUGAUGAAAGACUCAGUGUGAGCCAGCAGUGUGUGCUUGCAGCCCAGAAGGCCAACCAUAUCCUGGGUUUUAUCAAGAAAAGUGUGACCAUCAGGUUGAGGGAUGUGCUUCUUGCCCUCUGCUCUGCUCUUGUGAGACCUAACCUGGAGUACUACAUCCAGUUCUGGGGCCCCUGUCACAAGAUGGACAUGGAGUUCUUUGAGCAGGUCCACAGAAGAGCCGCGAAGAUUAUCGGAGCAUCUCCCCUGUGUGGACAGGCUGAGGAAGCUGGAAUUCUUCAAACUGGUCAAGAGAGGGCUCCAGGGGGAACCUUGUAGCAGCCUUCCAGUACCUAAAGGGGGCCUUACAUGAAAGCUGGGAAGGGACUUUUUAUAAGGAUAUGUAGCGACAGGACAAGGAGAAGGGUUUUAAACUGGAAGAGGGUAGAUUUACACUAGAUAUUAGGGAGAAUAUUAGGGAGAAAAUUAGGGUGAUGGGACACUGGAACAGGUUGCUUAAUGAGACUGUGGAUUCCCCCUUCCUGGAAGCAUUCACGGCUAGGCUGAAUGGGGCUGUGAGUAACCUGGUCUAGAGGUCCCUGUCUAUAGCAGGGGGGUGGGAACCAGAUGACUGUAGAGGUCCCUUCCAACCCAAAGCAUUCUAUGAUUCUGUGACCCUUGGUGAACAUUUAUGGAGACCAGACCAGUGGAUGUGAGCACAGUGAGGUAUUGGGUGGUGAAUUUCAGCAGAGGUGACAGCAAGCAACAGUAGGUCACCUCUGCUGGUGCAAGUUUUUAUGACUGUAGUAUACAGGCUUUUGUUCAUCGCUGGCAAAAAUGCACAGCUAAUGGUGGUGUCUAUGUUGAAAAAUAGUGUUUUGUAGCUGAGAAUUUGCUUUAUCAAGUAGUGUUAUUGAAAUAGAUAGGAGACAUUACUUUUGGAGUGACAUACAGAAUUAUGAAUUUUUGCAAGAAAUGAAAUAAAAUUUUGGCUGGAGAUACCCAGCUGGAAAAUAAUGUCAUGGAGUUUCUUUAAUUUUGUGAAUUAAAAAGAAAUAUCAUCCUCACAUCAAAGUUUAUAAUAAAUACCAUUAUUUUGUGUCUUCUUUGCUGUACUGCAAAUUAGUCUAUUAGCACUUCUUGUUUUUCUUAUUGUGUUUCUGACUUGCAUUUGUUUCAAUAGGGAUAGUGAUGGCAUAGAUCUAAAAUAAAUUAAAAUUCUACUGCCACUCCCAGUCUAGAAUUUUGAGUGACAACUGAGACUGUCUCUCAAACUAAAUAGUCUAUUUCAAAACAGUAAAAAUCCCCCUACCCAAGACGGAUGUCUCACCAGUUAUCUGGUUAGUAUUUAUCUGGUUUAAAAUCCAGCCUAGUCUGAUCAUCUGCUCUAUCGCUGGUGCUGGAUGGGAACCAAAUAUACUUUUAGAAGUUGUUUUGGAUGUUUGUACCCCACUACCGAAUAAUUAAAAUAGUAUUUUCACUAAGAGGAAUGCAUUUCUGAAGUACUUCUGAGAUAUCAAAAAAAUCCAGAUAUUCUUCUGCUGUUUUAAUUUUUUUAUUUUAUUUUCAGUGAAUAGCUACCUAUCUGUUGUCCAAAAAUUCAGCUAGAUCUGGCACAAUACCAAAGACUUAAAAUUGGGGCUGCAUGAAUGUUGUGCCAUUUGGGUGCUCACUGCAGCUUGGAAGAGGAUAUUCAGCACCAUGCUGCAAAAUCUAGAGUAGAAAUCAAACCCUUGAAAAACAGUUUUCCUCACAAAAAUCAAUCUCUUUUACACUUGUUUGAUUCACAUCUUUUGCACCUCCUUUGCAGACACUGUUACGUUGGUGCUCACUUUUUUUCGUGGAACACAUGCCAUUUCUGUACAAUGACAGCAACAGAAUGUUGUAUUAGCAAAUGAUUCAUGAGCUCUAAAUUUCCCAUUUCAGACAAACUAGAAAUUAUAGAUUUUAAAAAUGAUUUUGGUAUUAAAAUCUGUGGCCCAGCUAUCAGUCCAUCAGUCAAAUAAACACCAUCUAAUAUGAUAAAGGAUAGAUUUUGUUUUCGGAUGUGUUACAUAUGCAGAGUAAACAAGCUCUCCUACACUUAAUAAGGAAAGUCUCUCUGCAGUAUUAUAGAAACACAUAAUAUCCCAAAAUCAAGUGUCCCAAAUUCUGCCAUCCUUGUUCUUUUCAACAUUUUAAUAAGUUCAAAACUUGUUUGUCCUCCUUGGAAGAAUGCAUCAAUCUCUGUUGUCUCUGAUAAUGAGGAGUUUAUUUUGGAGAAUUGGAUAUCACAGUUACUGUGAAAAACAUUGCAGGGAGACAUCUAGAAAUCUCUGAGUAUGAGCAGCCUGCAUGCUGCCAGUUUAGCUCUGCCUUUGAUAGAAUUGAGUUGGAGGUGAUAAUUCUUCCUCCUGAGCUAACAAUUCCUGAUGAUUACUUGGAUACCUGUGUUACAAUCCUACUAAGGUGGAUGCUGGGAGUAUGUAUAGCCUGAGGCACUGUUCAACACAGAGUCUGCUUGUAUACAUGCAUGUCAUACAACAUCUGAGAUUCUGUGAGAGGUGGAGGGCAGCAAAACAUGGGACAAACUGUCCCUGUCACAUCUGCAGAUCAUGUUGCUAUUCACAGGUCACAGCCCUUGCAUGAGAACAGGUACCUACAAAGAUGUUUUUCAGAUGCUUUGUCUGUGAGCAGUAGCUUUAUAGUUACAGCACUUGACAGGGAACUGAAUUUUUCAUUUUGGGUUUAAUUUGGAUGAGAAUGUUCAAAUUCCAUGUCUCUAUGUCUCUGCAGAGUGCACUGCAGUACCUGUGUGGUGCUUCCAUAUGGUUACUCUGGGCUUCCACAGUCAUUUUACAGGUGUCAGGGUUGUUGGAUGAGAAGGGAUGUGGGUAUCAGGCCUUGGACAAUGUCUGUCUGUAGACUGUGAAUGAAAGAGGUGCCAUUGUAUGGUAGUUUAUAUUUCUGUGAUUAGCCAACUUACUGCUGUCCUUCCCUUUCUCUGCAUCCAGCUUGAUGGACCAGUGGCACACACAGAUACAUACAAAAAGUUUUUAGUCUUCUAAGUUUUGUUCUGCUUCCUUUUUAUUCCAGAAUCAUCCUUCACAUCUUGAACUCUUCUGAUUUGAUAGUGAUUAUUAUCUUUGUUUAAUCAGUGAAUUUCAUGACAACUGUCCUUCUUUAAUCUCUUCCAGAAGUAGCUAAUGGAGAUACUACACAGGAUCUGUCAAAUUAGAUAAAUAUACUCUUAAUGAAGUCUGUGAGUUGUCUCUCUUUAGCUUGGUAAUGUCCCUUUCAAAUGAACAUGGAAGAACAUGCAGAUGAAGUCAAAUCUCUGUUGAAUGGUUUGUGGCCAACUGGACAGACUUCCCAGAAAUCCUUUCAUCUGCCAGCUGCAAGAGCGUUUUCCCAUGUGAUGCUGAAAUAUACAUAAAGGAAAGUGACCCAGAGAAGAGGGAUUAAAGAACCUCUGUAUCCUCUUUUGCCUGAACAGUGUGAGCUGCUCUGGGGAAUGGUCAGCUCUGCCCUUCAGACUGCAAUUGCAUCCAGCUGUGUGUGCUAUGCAGGUUUCUUGUUCACUGGGUGAUCUUGAAGUGGCCUUGCUAAAAGCUCUCUGCCAUUUCCAAAGGAGAUAAAUCUACCUAGAGCCCUGGGAAGCAGAAUUGCUCUUCUUUUUUGAAGGCACUGAAGGGCCAGUAGUGAACUGGCAGUGAUCAUGACAGAGCCCCUCAUCACUCCAGCCCUCAGCACAUGGGCCCAGGUGUCAUGGAUGAUAUGCUCUGCUGAGGAAGAUCACAGUGAUCUUGAUAUGAUGGUGCAGGUACAACUUUUCAAGCAUUCUUUUUCAGAGGAUGGUAAUUCACCUCAUGGCAGCUCUUGUGGUGUCAUCAUUGUUUUUGGUUGGCAUGGGAACAGAACCUUUUAAGUGCUUCUCUUAAAUGAUUUUGGUUUGUGAUGAAAAAUCUUGCGUUUUCAAACUGGGCUGUCUCUCCCAUAAGAACUGACUAAUAGCCUUGCAUCUUGAAUCCCUCACUAAUUAAAACUUCACCUAAACAGAUGUUUUUUCCAUACAAUUGAAUUUCGGCUCUGAAAUAAGCAGCAUAUUUUGAUGAGAUUUAAUGUCACGGAAGUGAUCUGACCAGCUCCAGAUAUCCAGAUAUAUACUUUAGAUAUGUGCAGAUAGUUUUGACUGCCUAGAAAGAACCACCUAGUAGACAGAGAGGAUUUGGCAAAAGCAAUUAUCUUUUAUCUCAGUUCAGUUUCAAACCAUUUGUGAGGAUUCAAGAUCAUGCUUUGGUAAAAUAAACAGAUAUGGCCUAAACUGCAGCAAGAAACUGAAUUUUAAACGACAAAUAUAUCUAUGUAUUGUUUGUGUUGCAGUGAAAAUUAAUAUUACACUGCUAGAGAAUUCUGUCCACUUCUGUAACAAAUGAAAAAGAGAGAGAAUUAUAGGACAUUAUAUUCUGUGGAGCAAUGUGACUAGUGAGGCAGAACUCGAUCCACAAUUGCCAAGUUACAACCUGAUAAUACUCUAUCAAUUCUGCACGAUACCAAUCCAGGACACUGCUUCAUAAUCUGAGCAAUUACUUCAAGCGAUUCAGCAGAGCCCCAAGAUCUACUGUAUCAAAAGCAGCAGAAAGAUCCAUCAGCAGGAGUACUGUAAUUUAACUUGAAUCAGCAGCUGGUGAUAAAUCAUUUGUGACCUUAAGUAAAGCAAUCCCAGGACUCUGGUACUCCCUGAAGCUAAACCGAAACUUCUCAUAUAAUCCAUUCACUGACAAAAUUGCUACUAGUAAAAGGGCAACCACUUGCUUCAGUCCUUCCCUUCCUUGUAUUCCAGGAAAGAGGGCUAGUUCAGUUAUUGCCAGGUAGAACAGAGUCCUACAAUAUAAGAUAGGGGAAGCUUUUACCAUUUCUACUAACAAAGAACAGCUGCAAAUUUCAGCAGAUCAGGAGACUUGCAGCAAGCAAAGAGUCAUUAACCAAGUUAGCUAUAAAUGAAGUAAAGCACUGAAAGAGUGUCUGCAAGCAGCCAUAUGGGCCAAGAGUCAAAACUAGGAGUAAUGGAGCAUGAUUGCUUUCCCAACUGUGUGAUCUCAGCAAGAAGCAAAUACAAAUGUAUAACACUUGCACAUACAGGCUCUGGUAGCAUAAUUAUCAGCCACAGCACUGAACAGUCGCAGCUGAUUAGAAAUUCACUCUGUACUUGCUGAAUUCCUCACAGUAGGCAGCUGAAAGAUUGUGCACAAGGAGUGAUUUGUGGUUCAAAAUAUGAUCAAUAGCACAAAAUAAGGCUUCAGGUCUGUUUUUCCUCAUUAAUAACAGGACAAGAAUACAUAGACUUGGCUGGAUCAAAAGCAAUGUGCUGAGACUCUACAUCAUCUCAGUGCUUCAGGAGACUAAUUUCUGAACUAAACAGUCUUUGAAAUGAUUCCACAUCACGAGCUUCCGUCCCUACCUUAGUCAGGUCCUGUGAUCACCAGGCAGACAAAGACAGGCACAGAAAACUGAGGACAACUCAGGAGCUUCACAGACUGUUUUUAAUUGGGGGGAAACAAAAGAAAAAAUAUCACAAUUUGUACAAGAUGGUGAGGUGGAUUCAUUUUAUGUGUAAUAAACUUUGGUUCUCAUUUAUUCUAACUGUCCUGGAAGAUCUUCUAGAGACUAUCAUGAGAGAUACAAGACAAAUUACAAAUUUUUUAUCCCUUUCACACAAUUUGUCAUGUUACAGGCAUCAACACGGGACUAACUUGACUCUACCUUUAAUACAGGUCAUCUUCUAGAAGUCAUCUUAUUAUGCUACAGUUUUUAAGUUGGACUGCCCAAACAGUUAAAAUAUUUUCCUCGUAAUGAAGGAAAAAUCAAACCAAUUCUCAUGCUAGAUAUAGUGGAAACAAAGCAAAGAAAUAGAGAAUAAUAAUAAUAAUAAAAGUACCACCACUCCCAAAGAGUCAUUGAUUUUAUACUGACUGCAUCUAGGCUGAUUUUUAAUGGUCCGGGUCCAGGACUCCAUUAGUGUUUAAUAAAUGAUAUCCUACCUGCACAAUACAUGUGAAGCUCCCAUUGAUUUCAAUGUGAGCUCUUGGUGUAGACUGAUGGCAGGAUAUUCCUGUGACAGAGAUGAAUUUUCCAUUAGAACAAAAUGAGGAAGGCCUGUCUCAGUCAGCAGAAUUCACAGCAACAAGAAAUGUUCCUUGGGGGCUCAGUGAAAGAUGCCCAUCCUGGGUGGUGGAAAGUAAAUUGGGUGGGAAGCGGUGAGGCAUACUUGGACGGCUGUAAAACCAAUUAGAACCAUCAUGCAGUUAUAUUGAUGUUUAAUUUGUAUUAUCUGGAAACCACAAGUUCCUUUUUCAUCACACUGUGGGGGAAAUUGCUGUUCUUUUUUAUUUGAAGGCAAAGAGCACGUUUAAUAUUGGGGUAGAAGGGAGAGUGUGUAUGUCUUGUACUGUGUCUUGAUAACCACCUUUCACUCAGAAUAGAUAAAGGAAAAAUGAAAUACCAUUAAUUAUAAACAAUGGAGAACCACUACCCAUACAGAAAUUUGGACAAUGACACAAAGAAUUCAGCUGAAUGUUUUCCUUCAAGGAUUUUGUUAAAAAUGCAGUCAAUGAGUUGAUGUGAAGUCAGCUUUACAUGUUUCAGAGAAGCAGCUAAGUACAACAGGGGCAGGGAGAAACCUCCCAUAGUGUUUCUCAGAAAAAAAUGGGGAAGGAAAUCUUUUGGCAAAGAAUUGUUUGAAAACACCUGAAUCUGUAAGCCAAGAAAAGGUCUUGCAAUUUUGGCAUUGCUUUUAUUGUGGAAA